CCUACGGGGGGCUGCAGUGAGGAAUAUUGGUCAAUGGGCGGAAGCCUGAACCAGCCAAGUAGCGUGCGGGAUGAAGGCCCUACGGGUCGUAAACCGCUUUUGCACGGGGAUAACACCCUCCACUUGUGUAGGUCUGCCGGUACCGUGCGAAUAAGGGCCGGCUAAUUCCGUGCCAGCAGCCGCGGUAAUACGGAAGGCCCGAGCGUUAUCCGGAUUCAUUGGGCUUAGAGGGAGCGUAGGCGGGCGUUCAAGUCAGCUGGAAAAUCGCUCGGCUCAACCGCGCCCCGCAGUUGAAACUGGACGCCUUGAGUUCACAACAGGCAGGCGGAAUUCGUGGUGUAGCGGUGAAAUGCAUAGAUAUCACGAGGAACCCCGAUUGCGAAGGCAGCCUGCCGGGGUGCGACUGACUCUGAGGCUCGAAGGUGCGGGUAUCAAACAGGAUUAGAUACCCUGGUAGUC
rnacentral:rRNA from 1 species